rnacentral:rRNA from 1 species
UACGAAGGGGGCUAGCGUUGCUCGGAAUCACUGGGCGUAAAGGGCGCGUAGGCGGCCAUUCAAGUCGGGGGGUGAAAGCCUGUGGCUCAACCACAGAAUUGCCUUCGAUACUGUUUGGCUUGAGUAUGGUAGAGGUUGGUGGAACUGCGAGUGUAGAGGUGAAAUUCGUAGAUAUUCGCAGGAACACCAGUGGCGAAGGCGGCUUACUGGUCCAUAACUGACGCUGAGGUGCGAAAGCGUGGGGAGCAAACAGG